UACGUAGGGUGCAAGCGUUGUCCGGAAUUAUUGGGCGUAAAGAGCGUGUAGGCGGUUCGGUAGGUCCGCUGUGAAAACUCGAGGCUCAACCUCGAGACGCCGGUGGAAACCAUCAGACUAGAGUCCGGAAGAGGAGAGUGGAAUUCCGUGGAUGUAGCGGUGAAAUGCGCAGAUAUCAGGAAGAACACCCGUGGCUAAGGCGGCUCUCUAGUACGGUACUGACGCUGAGACGCGAAAGCGUGGGGGAGCGAACAGGG
rnacentral:rRNA from 1 species